rnacentral:rRNA from 1 species
GAAGAUCGUUAUACAAAGGAUUGAAGAUUUAUCGGAUUGAUAUUUUAUAACAAAGGUCUUAUUGGCGGACUGGUGAGUAACGCGUAAUGAACCUGCCUUUUAUAGGGGAAUAACAAUGAGAAAUCAUUGCUAAUACCGCAUAUGCCAUAAUUAUCACAUGAUAACAGUGGGAAAGGAGCAAUUCGCUAAAAGAUGGCCUUGCGUCUGAUUAGAUAGUUGGUAAGGUAACGGCUUACCAAGUCGACGAUCACUAGCCGGACUGAGAGGUUGAACGGCCACAUUGGGACUGAUAUACGGCCCAUACUCCUACGGGAGGCAGCAAUCGGGAAUAUUGCGCAAUGGAGGAAACUCU